CAGAGGAAAUCAUAGAAGAAGCUAGCUAUGUGAAUGCACCAGCAUGCACUGUGGAUAAAGUGGCAGCCCCUCCAGACCAGAGGUCUCUCUUCUUCACUUAGUCUUUUCCACUGAUAGCAGUGUGUUGGCUGAUACUGUUAGUCAUCAUGGGCCUUCGUAUCUACUUUACGUCUGUCAUUUCUAAAAACGACGCCAAGCUGACGGCAGAAAUCCAGCAGCUGGAGACUCUGAUGCAGCAUCUGAAUUUAUCCAAAGACAACGAGACUCUACUGGCUGCCAUUCAGCACCUGACAAACCUCAACGACAAACUGAGCUCAGACAAUAAGAAGUUGAGAAGGGACUACGACGAUCUGACAGUCCAGUUGAGCAACCUGACAGAAAACUAUAC